GCAGAGUUCUGACCGUGGGUGGAAGGGGCCCUUCUGUGAACCCAGAAGAGAAAGUGGAGGUCCCUGGGCUGGAAUGGGCCUUGAAGGAAGGAGAAGCCUUUCUCAGCCAGAGAAGGCAGGAGUCGAGGGGACUCCCACGCAACGAGAAACAAGAAGCGGACAGCAGGGAAGAUGGGUCCACAUGAGAUCAAGCUAUCGCACCCGCCACCAGGCUGCACAUGCUGCUGCCACAGAUUCCCACUCCGCGGGACUUGAUGGUGCAGGAAGACCUCCCUGGGGACACCGAGCUGAUAAAAUACCUGUUUAAUCCAGAAAAGUGUUGGACACUUUUCUGGAACAUGGACCAGCGUGUUUGAAUAGGGAGAAAAUAAGACCGGCACCCUGACAGGCCUGGAGUGAGGAAUUGUUCCACUCAGGACCUGUCAACCCUCUGUAACUGUGUGGCUGGAAAUGAAUGGGACCCCCACGCCCUGGGUCUGUCCACCCUCAGAGCUAAGAUGUUCUUCCCGCUGUCUAACCUCGGUGUCUCCCUUACGGGCCAGAAUUACUCACAGAUAUUCACAGAGCUGAUGCCAUCACACAGCCUGAUGAGGGAGAGAAAAGGUCAGCAUUAGGACCGGGCAGGAGUUCCUGGCAAUGAUCCCAGGAGUCAUGUGGUCACCAGCUCUGAACCCGGUCACCCAAGGAAUCACCCAAGUCCCCCCCCCCCAGAAGGUCCGAGGAGAAGGUCUGAGGUCUAGCAUCCCCCGUAGCUCAGCAUCUCCCCAACUCUAUCCCAAAAGAGCACAAGGGGCGGGCUCUCCCAGAAUCUGUCUGGGAAGUGGGACCUGCCAAAACGCAGCGGGACGCAGAGAUCUCUUCAUCUGCCCCCAGGAAUUCAACUCCAGCCCACCUCCCCCGCCCCAUAGACUGGCUACAUGACCUGGAACAAUGCAGUCUCCCUGGGCCUCAGGUUGUCCAUCUCCCUAAUAGAAAUAUGUCUUUCUUUCUAUCUUCCCCUUCUGCUUGAGGUCCCCUUCUAUCCUCGCCCCUAACAAGUGGUGUUCUGCAACCAGCUCACAGAGCCUCUUUUGCACAUGUCUGGCCAAUUCUUCAUGAAGUCAGACUGGUAGCUUGAAAUCAGCCAUGAUGGAAGUAUUUACACCACUGGAAUCAGCAAAUACUAUGAAUCAGAGGGAUUUUUUUCCCCCUCAGACAUCCAGCAAACCAUUGUCCCUAAUUAAAUCAUACAAGAAGACUAUUGGAAAUCAAGCAGUGGACCUCAAUGAAGACUAUUCUUUUUAGCCUCUCCCCAUGGCAAGGAGGAACCCCGAAAGGGUUCCAAGAUGGGAGCAGAAGAAAUGGGGGCUGGGAAAGUAAUGGGGCAAAUAAACGGGUCAGGUCUGCAGGUGAGGCUCUGAG